rnacentral:rRNA from 1 species
UAGGGAAUCUUCACAAUGGGCGAAAGCCUGAUGGAGCAACGCCGCGUGAGUGAAGAAGGUUUUCGGAUCGUAAAGCUCUGUUGUUGGUGAAGAAGGAUAGAGGUAGUAACUGGCCCCUAUUUGACGGUAAUCAACCAGAAAGUCACGGCUAACUACGUGCC